AUCGCCCCAAACUUUCACUUUGUACUUCAUUCCACUCUCCAAUGGUUUUCGAGAGUGUUGCUUACUUUUAGCCCAACCUUAGCCACAGCAUAAUUGCGAUGGUAUAUGAGAGCUAAUAGGUGUUAUCGUGGAAGAUUGGACACAAGGCGUCAAUCAUCUAUGGCGGAGCCUCAGCAUAUAGGGCCGAGUUUUGCAAUGCGAGUCGGCAGCCACUUGAUACUGAACGGCCAGUUCUUAACGAAAGAGUGGAGCUCGUAUCAACAGCAGCUGCCUUACCACCCAACACGCUGCUGCCAGUGAACAAUGUUUUGCUCAAAGAGGUCUCUCUGAGUCUCCCAAUGCCAAACCUGAGCAUCCAAGCUCGACGCUUAUCAAGCGCGGCAGUUGUUGCCUGGGAGAUCCGACCAGAAAGUGUGUGUGCUGGCUAUGUUAUCCAAUUCUAUUCCUGCCGUAAAAAUGGUUUUUCGGACGGCUGCACCUGCGAAAGAUCCAACGUGUGUUCGAGCACUCAGCCCAACCUUUGAAAUUCCCACUCCUGCACGGGUUUAAGAAAUGGCUACCCCUGUAAGAUAUGGGAAUGGCAACCACCAUCUGGCAGUCGCAGCCGGAGCUCCCAAGUGUCAGUUUCUACCCCCGUCAACACAUGACUGGAAUUAAGAGUGUGGCGUGAUCCAGGACAAGGCUCAAUCAUCUGCAACACGAUGGUGCAGCAAUCGGCGAGGCUCAUGUCUACUUCUAGCGACCCUGCAUUUCACCAUGACGAUUUCGAUGUCGGCUCAGCCAGUAUGCUCGCAGAAGGUAGCCAUAGAGUUAACUGGGCAUCUUCUCCUACCCGACAUACACUCUUUCCUUCCUUUCAGACCCCCGAACAAAAACUCAACCUACUCGAUGCAUAUGCUUAGAUGUCGACUUCAGAAGUAAUUAGAUGUUAUUAGGUGUUAUUAUUGUUAUUAAACUACUAGUCUCAUUGACUCAGCUUUUUAUUCAGUAGACUUCAUUCCAGGUUAGAGUGUUAGUGGAGACGACUGUGUUAUCUGCGUUUAGGAAGUUGAAUUAAAUAGAGCAGAUUAUGUGCAUUUAGAAGGGAGGUAGGAAUUUAAAAUCUUGUCCUAGUUGUAUGCGUCCCUUGUUUCGAUCAAGGGCGAGAUGAGAAUUGACCACGUAUCAUAAUUUGUUCUUCUUGAAGGACAAUGGGAGAAAUCUGCUCAGAUCCGUCUGGGUAAGAUCUCUAAGAGUAGAUAGACCCAAACCAAUGCAAUUGGACGUAGGAUUGUUUUACGAGUGGGAAGGAAGAUUUGUGAACGAAGUAGUAAAGUGCUCAUUCCGACCAGCGACUUUAUCUCAACAACCACUCGCGUGACAUAUUCACUAGCAGAAUUACUCACUAGCAGUUUUGUCAAACCUCUACGUUUUGAAAAGAGAUAAGCAAACAAUCCCUUCUUCAAACCUA